AUGUGUUAUUUGGUCCCACUCUAUCUCUCCAUAUCUCCAUUUUCCCCCUCUGUUGAGAUGUUCCCAUUGCUAAGUUCAGGUGAGUCAAACGGGAAGAUCCCCGUUGCCAGUAUCCCUACAGGUGGAGGGCAAGAUGCCGCUCCAACCACACCUCCUGGACGAAGCUGCCCCUGCAUGUCGCUUCUCCAAAGCGCCGGCGCGGGGGCCCCCGCUAAGCCGAACCUACAGAAGCCGCGGCGACCAGCCGGCCGCCUCCCCGACCCCGGGGCCGCCGCGACAAUGGCGGCGGCACCACUUCCCGGUCGAGAGCUCGCCGCUUCUGGAUGGGAAGGCAGCAGGGAACCGAGCGCAGGACCCGGGCAGCCUCCGGAACCUCUCCGAGCCUCGCUCCCAUCCAGCUCGGCCCGGGAGCCAAACGUAAAACACCUGCGCGAGGAACAGUGUCCCACCAAGUGCCAGGAGCACUCUCCCCUUGCUGCUCUGAAAACGCUGGACAUGGUACAUGAACAGGAAGCAGACUUAAUCCAGGACGAUGCGGAGGAAAAAAGUUAAUAAUUCACUCAUGAAAUUUUACUUUCAAAUGAAAUACAUUCAUCACACUAUCCUAAGAAAAGACUCUGAUCAAACUUCCAUUUGAAUGACUAUAUGAGGACUUAACAACAGCACUGAAAUGAAAUGAGUGAAAAUGCUGAAUUAGCGGAGACACAAAACACUACUCUGUUUGUGGAUCAAGAGAAGAAACUUGUUAUUAAUAGAGAGCAACAAUAGAAAUACUAUAUACUAUCUGGAAAUCAAAUAAAAGGAAAGCUAAUUACUAAUGAGAUUCA
rnacentral:lncRNA from 1 species